GACGAACCGUGCGAACGUUAUUCGGAAUCAUUGGGCUUAAAGGGCGCGUAGGCGGGUGACCGCGUCGAGUGCUGAAAGCCCCCGGCUCAACCGGGGAAUGGGCCUCGAGACGGGUCGCCUGGAGGCGAGGAGGGGGACCUGGAACUUCCGGUGGAGCGGUGAAAUGCGUUGAGAUCGGAAGGAACGCCGACGGCGAAAGCAAGGUCCUGGACAAGUACUGACACUCAACUGCGAAAGCGUGGGGAGCAAACAGG
rnacentral:rRNA from 1 species